UUGCCAUCAAAUUUCGUGGACACGGGACGUGUAACACCGGUAUAAAUUAUAUUCAAUUGUGACUUAAUAAGUGAUAGCCGAUCUGGUUUCGAGCAUAGAAAUCCGGAAAUUGGAGAUUCGUGUCCGUUCAUCCUUGGCUUUUGUUGGUCAGCUACCGAAUAUCGCCUCCCCCCUGCCCCCCUCGCCAUUACUAAUUUUGGUAAUUCAAAUUAUAUCUCAAUCCGCCAUUUUGUCGUUGAAAAUCGUGACAAUGAGACGCUUCUUUUCGAAACAGAAACCUCAAGGCGGGAAAAUUUCAAUAUGGAUAUCACAGUAAUUAUUUGAUAGAAUUCCUUAUCAAUAGUUCUUUCACGGAGAUGAUAAAAUAAAACGAAAGAUAAAAGUCAAUAAGAUAAGUAAAAAAUAUUGGAGAAGAAAUUAAUUAUUAUUUAUUAAUUUAAUUAUCUAUUAUUGCAUUUUAUUGCUUCUUUUUUAUGUAGUGUAUUUCAGGUUCAUCUUUCAACAUUUUAACAACGAUGGAAAAAUGUUAUGUAAUUUUAUAUUUAUAUUUAGAUUUCUGGUAGGUAGUUUGAAGAAAUUAUUGAAUUUUUAUAUAUUAAAGUUUAAGAUUUUUUAAUGAAAAUAUAAUAAUUUGAAAUAUUUUCAGGAUAUUUUGUUACUGGGAUUAAAAAAUUAUAUAUUUUAAUAUGUUUGAAGAUGGAAGAUUUUUUGAAAUGUGUUUAUGAUUUAAAAUAAUAUAAAUUAUGUUUAUAACUUCGUGCAUGUAUAUAAUUAUUGUAAUUUGUGUUAAUUAAAUGAAUAAAUUAAUGUAAC